UCAGUUUAGAACGUGGGCUUAAAAGAGACGGUUCACCACUUGUCGGCAGAAAUGAGCAGUGCGGAAAUACGAAAAUAAAAAAAAUUUAAGCGGGAGCCAAUUAUAUAAAUUUGUACUGCAAAGUUUUGCGCGGUUAAGAGGUGCUCUAGUGGUUCGUGUCCAAGUGUGAAGUGUGUUCAAACUUAAAUUCCCAUUUUUUUAAUUAUUGAAAUUCUGUGUGAAUUGUGAGAUGUGAUUUGCAGACUUCUUGGCAAGUCGUUGUCAAUCGCACUGUUUAUAGUAAAGGUGAACAAAAGUAACCUUCAGCAGGACAACAAACGCUUGCCAGAUGGAAUUGUUAGCAGAAAUGCGAUAAAAUAUAUAUAAAACGCCGAGGCCAGUGACUAUCCCAAGGUGGUUAAGUGGAAAUAAAAGAUAAGUAGUGUCGGUAAAACAUCGAACCCAAAUAGGCUCAGUGCGAGACAGAGUAGACAUCUUGAUAGCGUUCAGGCAUACAUUUUUACUGAACAAAUAAAGACGACGUGAUUGCUUGUGUGUUAAUGCGGUUAUUAUUCUGGCGUGUUAUAUCGCGCUUCUUCUAGAUAACAAAUUUCAAACCGCAGGGCGCAUCAAUUUUAAUUAAACGCCUAGGCGCGUCCCUUAACAACCGUCCGUGCUUUUUGCGCCUCACCUCACGGUUUGCGUCUUAAAACCUGCGUCAUCAUCAGCAAUAUCCGUUGAGACAGUGAAAACCAGAACAAGGAUCCGGAGCGUGCCUCUGGGAGAACACCGAAAUCACCGAUACCAUAAAAUUUCGAAACUAAUUUUAGAGUUCCUGGUUAACAAAUUUUCGUUACCGGCACAUUAAAUAACAAUAAAGGAAACAACUAACUUAACAGCUUAAGCACUCAACUGCUGACAUCCACACAUACCCUAAAUCUUCUGGCAUAACUUUUGUGAGCUUAUCGAAUUUCCAAAUCGAUAUCCUCCUGACAUCAUAUUCCAGUUCUUUGUUGACCUGUAAAGCAGCGAAGAGCCAAUCGCAGCAUAUUUGGGGCAGACAAAUUCCAUUUUGCAACACAAUAACUGAGAAUAAUGGUGAAGGCGACUUUGUGAGAAGCGCAUAUAGCCACACUUUUACAAGGAAGCAAAGAGGAAAAUUGACGGUUAGAGAAAGGUGACAGCAGAAAUACCAAUAGCAACGCAAGCCUGCAAUUUUAGCGAGUGUUCGCCCAUCGCAACGCAAACUUCUCAUCACAUUUUGGUGAUUGCACCUUUCAUGUUGCUAUCAUCGCUAUCUUCCUCCCACAGUCUUUUUUUCGACUCAACCAUUUUUAUUGAAGGUUUCCGGUUUUAAAUUGCCUGAAUCACGUAUACGCCAUGGUGACGACUGAGAGGUUUCACAAUACAUGUGCAGUGCUGUUGUAGAUAUAAGCAGCUCGUGCUUAACUUCUCCCCCUGGUAUGACAUACCACAAAUGAUAAAUGCGGGCGGAACUCAAAUGAAACACUUAACGCAACCGAAAAGAAUCUGGGCGGAGAACAACUUAGAAGACAUUUUAUUUUUUUCUGGUUUCACCAUUCCACCAUAGCAAAUACAAAGAGUUUUCACAGCUGGUCCGCAUGAGAAACGCCUUCUUGAGUCCUGUUCGUCAACUACAAGGGCUUGGAAUCCUAUCCACUGCAGCUGAGCUUCGGGCAGAUCCUAAUGCAUAUCAUCGGUGUGGAAUGGCAUGACAUCAACUUGCGCUGGAACUCAACGUAUUUACGAGACCUCCGCAUUCCUCCACAUACACUUUGGAAUCCGGAUAUGCUCAUUUCUAACAGCGAUAUAUGAGCAGUGGAGACAACGACCGUUCACAGCCACAAAAUUACUAGUCAACCGAAGUCUUACUCAAAGAUAUAUAGACAGACGAAAAAGCAGAUCGAGUGUAGACCAAGGUAACUCUUUAACUUAACUAUGUGGCUCUACCGAAUACCUGAUGACAACCUCAAAGCCUCAAACGCUCAGAUGUUUUGGAUGCUUAUGUGGCCGAUAUAAAGGAGAGGUAGCAAAUAUAUCACAAUGGCAGCAACCUGAUUGACAUCUUUCAGCAGAAUAGUAAAAAACGCCAUUUGGGCUUCGACAUCUGGCCACUGUUGAGGAUGGACAAGCGAAUAUAUGAUGCCUGCUUCUGUUAAGAAAAGAACUGUAAUUUCGGAGUCCACAUCACUGAAAACCUGCGGCAGAAUUUGAAAUAAUAAUGUGAAACAUUCCACCUUAGAUCGCUGAAUUGCACGGAAAUGAAAUUAAUUUGAUUAAUUAUACUCUAAACAAAUAACUUAAGUUUUAAUAAUAAUAAAAGCGCAACAAGUAAAA
rnacentral:lncRNA from 1 species